GCUCUUGUCCUCCGCCUCCGUGUACUCGUACGGCGCCCCGCGCGGCUUGGCCAUCCCGCCCGCCAGACCAUUAUGGAGAGACAAAACAAUUACCAUCCAGUUAAGAUACUGAAGUGCAGGUUCCUAUACUGAAGUGCAGGACAAGAUACAGAAGCAGAUAAAUAUGGACUGGCUGCCACUGUGAUCAGAAGUGAUGCAUUCUCAGCCACUGCCUUAUUGCUGGGAUGCUCCAUGUCAAGCCUUUAAAAAGCGUCUGAAAACAGAUUUUGAUCUAUUUAUCCAGACUCGGAACUGAAAAUACAUGGCUUCACUCAAGAAGCUGAAAGAAGUUGGCUUCCAAAAUAGUUUUUCCUAUCUAUUAAAAGGUACCCAGAUCAAGUGAUACUAAUUCUACUGCAAACCAACUGCACCACAAGACUGACAACUUUUGCCAGAGUGACAGAAGAGACUUCAGUGGCAGAGGCAGCCUGUAGGAGUGGAAAAUGACCAAGAACUUCCUUGUGUAAGAAGGUGGAUUCUAGAGCAAAGCUUCCUUCCAUCAGUUCCAUAGCCUCAUACCCCUUCCAGGUCUGCCAAAGGAGACAGUAGAGACCAGGCUUUUGCAAGGAAACCACUUCCCUGCCUCUAACAGGAGAAAAAUCAGUCCAAGUGUGAAGCGCUUCUCAAGGAGUUGAAGAAUAAAGGCUCAUUACCCAUUUAAAUACUACCAUAAAAAUCAAAAAGGAACACAGAUCCAUUUCUCUGAUCAGUCAAAUGGGAAAACCUCAGCAAAAAACAACCACACAGUACAGACCUUUCUUCUAAUGUUAUCAACCUAUCAAUGCUAUCAGCAAGUUGAAUUUAAGGAGCUGAUCACUACCAAAUUGUGUGGUGUCAGACUAACUUAAUAUAUGCCAUAAGGAAGGACUAAUUUCAGGAGACUGGAACAUUAGACUACAAAAUAUAUGCAAUGCAAAAGGUUAAAAUGAGCUGGUCCCUUUGUCAGUUUUGCCCUGCAUGAUACUGAAUGAAUGGACAUUUAGCUUGACUACUAAAAUGUAAGUGGUUUUAUUUUAGUUCUUCAUUUAUCUGACUGUUUUGUUUUUUUUAAAUAAAAGCUCAUUCCUACCUACAAGUAUAAUCUAUGUAAAACUGGCAUCUUUCCUAGAAAUACUCAUAAAAUGAAAAUGCUAGUGACAAAGUCACAUAUUUUAAAUAUGCUUUAUAUUUUUCAAAAGCACAUUUUAAAGCAACAGGUAAUAGUGCAAAGAAGUUAUUCUGUGCACUUAAGCCAGGAAGACAUUUUUAACCAUAUUGCAAGUACUCCAUAAGGCAGAAAGGUUGAGUUUUCCAGGUCUGAAGUGUAUUUAACUAUUCAUGUAGCAUUUAUAAAAGCAAAGUGAUGAUGUUUGACACAGUGGGUAAAAAUACAGCCUUUUACUUCACGGGAAGUACAAUCAUUUAGUAAACCUUUUUCCUGUAUUCAAACUAAAGCUAGCUACUGCAGCACAAAUAUCUGGGUCAAAUGUUAUCAGGCGAACAAUAUACAUAAAAGAUGACAAAAUAUGUAACAAUUCUUCAUUAAAA